AGUGAAGUGCCCCACCAUGCAGCUGGAAGUGAAGUGCCCCACCAUGCAACUGGAAGUGAUACCCCGUGCAACAAUGCUCCAUCAGUGGCCGUGGCCAUGCCACAUGAACAAAACGCUGAACGGCUUUGACAUAGUGCGAUUUUGGAGUUGUCCAUAGGAGACGCAUGGAUGACACCUCACUGAUGACACAAUGGUCUAAUGUCUCAACUGGAUCAUAAAAAAUGAUGGAUGCUUUCACGGGAAACACUAUGGAAUCGAAAAUUCGGGAUCUUGUGUUAAUUGACGAGACAAUUUUACAGUGAUGUUUAUGUGACAUUCUAAUGUUGAUUUGACAUUCUCAAGUUGAUGUGAAUUUUUUAUAUUUAGGUACUGUACCUCGUAUGAUGAAAUAGCGAAAAAAAAGAGAAGAAAAUUGUCGAAAACUGACAUAAACUUGGUAUCAUGUGUACAAUGCAUUGAAACUUACUGACUGA